GCAUAGUUCAGAGGGUAAGAACACUGACUGAGACUCUUGAGGUCGUGGGUUCAAUCCUCACCUUACCCA